AAACUCCCUUCUUAACUUGUAGCUGUUGACUAAUACCAUGUCAUUUAUUGUUCAAAUCGAACUGAAAAUAAGGAAGAAACGAUAAGAAAAACUUCGUCGACAACUAAGGAACCGAUAUCUAGUAAAUUACUCUCGUUAGGAAUAUUCCGUUUGGAGCCACGACCAAGAAAGUGACUGAACUCUUCAAGUUCGUGAAGUAAAGGCAGUUCGUUUGCAAAAAAAAAUGGCUAAAAAAAAUAGCACAAAAAAACAGAGUAGACGCGUAUCCGGACGACAUCCACAAUUCGUAGAUUAUAUACUCAAUUACUCAUGAACUAGUUGCUUUAAACUCUGUGUCUGCGUAAAAUUUGUCAUAAAUCGGGCCCUUCUUGCGAGUCUCAAACAAAGUAUUACUUAAACGUUUCCUUUUUCUAAAGAUAGAUGUAAGAUGGCUUUAUCAUACCCUUUUCGUCUGUCAAAUUAGUCGUGUGUCCAACAGGUGGUGGAGACGCGCGAGUGUCGAUUCGUGAGUGACGCAUUCUUUUUCCGAGGCAUUGAACCAGCUGAGCAGGACGAAAUGAAUUGUCAAUGAAUGCUCACUCUUCAACAUUUUAAUGAAAAUUUAAAAGAAGAGAUCCCUUUGUAAAAUUAUACAUGUCAGGCCCGCGUUU
rnacentral:lncRNA from 1 species